ensembl:misc_RNA 7SK 7SK RNA
GGGCGAUCUGGCUGCAACAUCUGUCACCCCAUUGAUCGCCAGGGUUGAUUUGGCUGAUCUGGCUGGCUAGGCAGGUGUCUCCUUCCUCCC